rnacentral:misc_RNA from 1 species
GAUGAAGAACGCAGCGAAAUGCGAUAAGUAAUGUGAAUUGCAGAAUCCAGUGAAUCAUCGAAUCUUUGAACGCACAUUGCGCCCGCCAGCAUUCUGGCGGGCAUGCCUGUUCGAGCGUCAUUUCAACCCUCGACCUCCCUUUGGGGAAGUCGGCGUUGGGGACCGGCAGCACACCGCCGGCCCUGAAAUGGAGUGGCGGCCCGUCCGCGGCGACCUCUGCGUAGUAAACCAACUCGCACCGGAACCCCGACGUGGCCACGCCGUAAAACACCCAACUUAUGAACGUUGACCUCGAAUCAGGUAGGACUACCCGCUGAACUUAAGCAUAUCAAUAAGCGGAGGA